AUUGAACGCUGGCGGCAGGCUUAACACAUGCAAGUCGAGCGAGCGGCGGACGGGUGAGUAAUGUCUGGGAAACUGCCCGAUGGAGGGGGAUAACUACUGGAAACGGUAGCUAAUACCGCAUACCAUCCGAUGUGCCCAGAUGGGAUUAGCUAGUAGGUGGGGUAAUGGCUCACCUAGGCGACGAUCCCUAGCUGGGCUGAGAGGAUGACCGGGUAGCCUGGAACUGUGGGACGGACCAACCGCCUAGGGUGGGCAGGGGGGGAGAAGUGUGCGCAAUGGGCGAAAGGGUGAAGCAGCCAUGCCGCGUGUGUGCAGAGGGGCUGCGGGUUGUAGAGUAGUUACAGUGAGUAGGCGGUACGCGGAGAAGAAGCGCCGGCUAACUCCGUGCCAGCAGCCGCGGUAAUAC
rnacentral:rRNA from 1 species